GGGGUGUGAGGUGACACUUCCAGGUAUUCAAGCGAUUUCCUGUCGGACUUGCAAGUUCAUGCAUCGUUUCACUUCUGCAGGUAAUAUUCAGUGUACACGGCCGAUAACUUAUAACUUUCCAUUUUGAACUAUCAGAUGUAUAAUAGAAUAUAGAUUUUUUUUUUUUUUAUAAUAUACAACUCUGUCUUACUUGUCAUAACUAAAC
rnacentral:lncRNA from 1 species